rnacentral:lncRNA from 1 species
GGUGAGUGUGUGAUAUAUGAAGAAGAGAGCUUGUAGAGGGAGAAAGUGUGCUCAUUGUAAGUAACUUUAGUGUGAAUUAAUCAAUACAAGUAUACACUUCCACAACUCUUGCGUCUCUUCGUGCCACUUUCGUGAAUUUACUUCCGCUAGCGUAUUUGCUAUCAUUCUGCCGGGUUUGGCAAUCAAGGGUAGGCUGACUAGCUAUCUUGAAUUUCGGGGAAGUCAAGCAAGCUAGGCCGCACGUGGGCAAAGUUUUGGAGAUAAAACAAAACUCACGUGACAGCAGUGGCUGCCUGGCCUGCGAGGAUUCUCGCCAACGGGCCCGAUGGACGCGCUGCCUCGGCA